rnacentral:rRNA from 1 species
GACGAACGCUGGCGGCGUGCUUAACACAUGCAAGUCGAACGAAGUGGCGAAAGGGUGAGUAACGCGUAAUCAACCUGCCCUUCAGAGGGGGACAAAAGUUGGAAACGACUGCUAAUACCGCAUACUGAAGGAGGGGCUUGCGUCUGACUAGCUAGUUGGAGGGGUAACGACCCACCAAGGCGAUGAUCAGUAGCCGGUCUGAGAGGAUGAACGGCCACACUGGGACGGAGACACGGCCCAGACUCCUACGGGAGGCAGCAGUGGGGAAUUUUGGACAAUGGGCGCAAGCCUGAUCCAGCCCUGCCGCGUGUCUGAAGAAGGCCUUCGGGUUGUAAAGGACUUUUGUCAGGGAAGCGGUACCUGAAGAAUAAGCACCGGCUAACUACGUGCCAGCAGCCGCGGUAAUAC